UACGUAGGUGACAAGCGUUAUCCGGAUUUAUUGGGCGUAAAGCGCACGCAGGCGGUCUAUCAAGUCUGCUGUGAAAGCUCCUGGCUUAACCGGGAGUGGUCGGUGGAAACUGCACACCUGGAGGACGGUAGAGGUAGGUAGAAUUCCCGGUGUAGUGGUGAAAUGCGUAGAGAUCGGGAGGAAUACCUGUGGCGAAGGCGGCCUACUGGGCCGGACCUGACGCUGAGACGCGAAGGCGUGGGGAGCGAACGGG
rnacentral:rRNA from 1 species